rnacentral:rRNA from 1 species
UACAGAGGGUGCGAGCGUUGUUCGGAAUUAUUGGGCGUAAAGGGCGCGUAGGCGGUGCGGCAAGUCACCUGUGAAACCUCUGGGCUUAACCCAGAGCCUGCAGCCGAUACGGGCAGGCUAGAGUUCGGUAGGGGAGACUGGAAUUCCUGGUGUAGCGGUGAAAUGCGCAGAUAUCAGGAGGAACACCGGUGGCGAAGGCGGGUCUCUGGGCCGAUACUGACGCUGAGGAGCGAAAGCGUGGGGAGCGAACAGG